rnacentral:rRNA from 1 species
UACGUAGGGGGCAAGCGUUGUCCGGAUUUAUUGGGCGUAAAGAGCGUGUAGGCGGCCAGGUAGGUCCGUUGUGAAAACUCGAGGCUUAACCUCGAGACGUCGAUGGAAACCAUCUGGCUAGAGUCCGGAAGAGGAGAGUGGAAUUCCUGGUGUAGCGGUGAAAUGCGCAGAUAUCGGGAAGAACACCCGUGGCGAAGGCGGCUCUCUGGGACGGUACUGACGCUGAGACGCGAAAGCGUGGGGAGCGAACAGG